AGCAAUCGGUCUGCAUCAUGGAGCAUGCGCAGUUCAGAGGGAAGUGAGGACUGAGGAGAUCCGACGGUGCAAGCCGACGAGUUGCCGCCGUUAUACCUCCGCGCCGCCCGCACCCGCAGUCUCCCGUCGCCGCCGCGCCGUUUCUGUGCGCUCCACGUUAACCACAUCAUGGAGCUGAAUGUACAAAGCAACACUUAACCUAAUUAUAUGAUGAGAGAAUUAUUUUAUAAUAUUGAGAAGCCUACAUGAGUAUGAAACAAUAACAAGGUCAAUAGAUGUAAAAACCUCGACUGCGAGAGUUUUUAACUUGCAGUGUAUACAUAUUUCAGGUAAUGGACAACCGAAUAGAUGAAGAAAAUAAAAAUGAACAAACCUCAGCAAUUUUUAUUACAAAUUUUCAAAAUGGGGAAACAAUAAAUUAUUCUCUGGUUCUAAUAAAAGGUUUAAUAACAGUUGGACCAUGUAACAAUAACAAAAUAAGAUGUACAGUUGACAGCAACGGAAACAAAAACAGUUCAGAUUGGGAUGUUUGCAAUAGAGAAUUUAAAACGAUAGUUUCUCUUAAGCUUGGUGAAAAUAGUAUUGAAUUUGAAUAUAUUGACCAAAUAAAAGUAAUAAAAUUGUCAUAUGAACCCAGAAGAACUAAUCUCAGAGUAUGUCCCGUAUAUAUCAUAUGUCAGGGACACGAUGGGUGUUUUCAGAGUCCCCCCGAUGUUGAUAACAGUAUUGAGAGUGCUUGUAAACGAAUAGCUAUUGGUGCCAAAAUAAUUCAAAGUCUAACCGCCGAAAAGCUAUUUGAAAGUGGAGUAGGAAGAAAAACAUUUCAACUUGAACAUGAGGUUAAUCAAAAAAGGGAAAGCUGUAUUAUAUUUAAAAGCAACCUUAAUGUAAACAAAGCCAGAAAAAUGAGGCAAGGAGAACUAUGGACCCAUUUUGGCAGGGAACUAAUGCUUUCAGAUUUAGGAAGUAAUGACAGGAAAUUUUUAGGCUUUAUUUCAUGUACAAGAUUCAAAGGAACGGAUGUUGAUAAGCCAAUGACACAUGAAGAAAUUGUAUUUCUCACAGAAGCUUAUGCAGCAUUGGGCGGUGGUGGACUGGCUUUAUUUGGAACGGCUUGUAUGUAUACUUGGCCCAGUUCAGUAGAAGAAAUCAUUCCUAGAUUCCUGGAUCCCACGCCAGUUAAUUCAAAACGGUUUAUGGAUGACAGUGGCUAUAGGGGAACUUUGGGAGCAUGUUUUGCAACAACUCUAGGAUCUGUUUUUCAUGAAUUAGGCCAUACGUUUGAUCUUGGUCAUACAAAAGACGGUAUAAUGGGAAGAGGUUUUGACAACAUUGAUCGUGUAUUUCUAGUUGGAGAUAAAAGAUCGGCUUUAGUGAAAGACAAUAUGAAUAACUAUAACGGUAAACCUGUUCAGCAUUCAACUGUAUCUCUUCAACGCAACAUAAAUGUUACAAUGAAUGUAGCAGAACCAUUGAGAGUUUUAGGUCCACGCAGUAAAACUACGCUUGGAAACUUUGCGUCUAUGUCAAAAUCUGACAUCGUAAGAAGAAGCCCGAAUGUCACCCCAAUUACGAGACCUUCCAGCGUCUACUCUACUAUUACAAAUAGGCUCUCAGAAUCAAAGAAAAGUCUCAAUCGUUCCAAUGGUAAUGAUUCUAUAUAUUGGACAAAAAAUUGUGCAGUUCUCUUAUCGUAUCAUAGAUGGUUUAACAAUGAAUAUGGCAGAGAAAGACAAGCUAUCACCAGAUACUUGAAGUUCGACAAAAACAGAAUGAUGAUAAUAUCAACAGCUGGCAUAAGAAUAGUGGAAGUAAGAGACGAGUCUAAUGGUAUGGUUUUAGAUUCAUAUGAAUUUACAAACCCUUUACCUGAAAAAAGAUUUCUAGUACCUUUUACUUUUUCUCCAAAAAGUAAAGUGCUAACUAUUGUUGUCGAAGAUGACCUUGGAAACGUCUUGAAACAAACAUUUUCCUAUUAAUAAGUGAAUUCUUGUGCUGGAACUAUCGUGAAAGUGUAUUUUUUUGCACAACGUAAUCAGUACUUCAUAAAAAAAUACAUUAAGUCUACUGUCUAAUAUAUAAAAUAAUAAUAUUAACAUAACGUAUGUGCUUUGUGUAAUAGGUCACCGGUAAUUGUUAAAUUUUAGAAGAUUUGUGGAAUAAUUGUUUUUAAAGACUGAUCAAGGCUAUAGCGGCGUCGUUUUGUUUUACUACAAGUAUUCAUAGGUUAUUUAAUAUCUAAGUAUUGCUUUCUAAGCGAUAACAAUGUGUGGCGAUAAGAGCCGAAACGUUGAUAAUAUAGCUUCUGCCCUUCGGCCUGCCAGUAGUUACUACUUCACCCAAAACUUAAGGACUUUUUGACCUAUUAUGAAAAUGGCAGGCAGUUCUUUAGAAGAUGAAAACCGAUUCAAUUUUAAUGCCAUUAAAUCUUUCCCAACUCUUGUGAAUGAUAAAAUAAAUGUUUUAAAAUUUUUGGAAGCAACAUCUGAUUUAAUUAUGGUAGUGGACCGUCUUGGAAAAGUUUUUGCACCUGUAAAAUAUGAUAUGCAAGGAAAUGUUGAU